CUUCACAGAAAGCCUCAAUUGCAGAACAAGGACUGGAUCCAAGUCUCUUGACUCCUGGCCCAGUAUCCCAUCUGGAACGGGACCUUGUUCUUGACUUGGAGCUCCAUGCCACUGUUAUGCUUUUAUGCAACAGGAUUGUUCACACAUCUGUUCCACUUGUAUGCAGAAAUGCUAGUGUGCACUAUGGGGGCCGUUUCAAACUGGUGGAAUUGGAUGCUGUGAUCAGCCAUAUGCUGCAAAAACUAUUCUUUUGUCAGCAUGUCUGUGUGGAAUUGCUUCAGGAGCUGGAAACAUUCAAAGCAACAACGUUCAGUGCUGAAUGCUCAAGACUGUUGAUGUGAAAGGGACUUUUGGUCUAGUUCCAUACUUCGCAAGCACUUCAUAUAUAAGUUGCUCUGUCCAGCUCUUGUCCAAUAGUUCUGCUGUCGCUUUGGAGGGAUUUGGUCAGACCCCAGAGAAGUCAAGAGAGAACAAAGCUGACAUAAAAACCCCGCUGACUGUGCAGGUCAAGUGGAAGAUAAAGUUACUUUUAUCAGUUCAGAGUAUGCAUAGCAUCAAUAUUGCAUUUGUAUAAGCACUUAGCUGCUGCGUGCUAUAAGUUACCACCCUAACUCUGCCUGAAGACUUUCAUUAUUGCUCUUCACAAACUUUCUGUAUAUAGUCUCCUUCUGGAAACCCUAUUCAAUUGGUAAGAG
rnacentral:lncRNA from 1 species